GCAAACUUGGUCAUUUAGAGGAAGUAAAAGUCGUAACAAGGUUUCCGUAGGUGAACCUGCGGAAGGAUCAUUAUCGAGAGUGCCCCCAUUCGGGGGUGACCUUCAGCCCUGUGUCUACAGAUGACCUUCUUGUUGCUUUGGCGGGCUCGCGCCCGCCAGAGGACCCAUUUUCAACUCGUUUUGAAUCAACCAGUCUCUGAAACAUAACCCAAUCAAAAUAUAAACAAAACUUUCAACAACGGAUCUCUUGGUUCUGGCAUCGAUGAAGAACGCAGC
rnacentral:misc_RNA from 1 species